rnacentral:misc_RNA from 1 species
GAAAAAAGUAACUUCCAGGCCAAGACUAAGGAAACUCAAGAAGCAGAAAUGAAACUGCUAAGGAAGAGUCUAACUUUUAAAGCAACGCCAAUGCCUAGUUUCUACCAGGAACCUGCACCUCCGAAGGUGGAACUGAAGAAGUUACCUCCCACAAGGGCUAAAUCACCCAAAUUUGGCCGCCAAAAGAGCACAUCACAGCAGGAAAAGGCAACCGACACUGAAGGGAAUCGAAGUCGUGUCUCCCGGUCGACAGACCUGAGCCUUCGUUGCAG